AAGCGCUUGCAACCAGACUUGCAUGCAAUCGAUCAUCCGAUGUUCUCACCGGUGCACUCGAUUGCAUUCAGGCCAGCAUCAGUUUUGGUGGUUAGAUAAAGACCUUGGGAAUGUAGCUUCUCUCGGGGAGUGUUAUAGCCCUCGGUGCAAUGUAGCCUACUAGGACUGAGGACCGCGCUUUGGCUAGGAUGCUGGCGUAAUGGUUGUAAGCGA
rnacentral:rRNA from 1 species